CCUUAUCCCAUUCAUUUUUGUUGUGUCCGAUGAACCUACGCUCGCUGAGGCUGACAUAUGAAACCAUCGGAGACUGACUUUAAUGAGCGAGCAAGCCAGUUAUCCACAAAGGAUCCAAAUAUCAACGAGCAGCACCAGGCUCGUGUCUCCUCAAGAGCUGGUCUCAUCUGUGGCCUAUGACCUGGUCUGCUUCUGACAGUCCUCAACAAAAACAACCUCACUUACCCUCUCCCUGUAGAUAAUAUAUAAUGAAGUGUUUUGUUGAAUGCAAUUGGUUGCCUUAUAUAUUUUGCACUAUUGACCAAACUUCUCUCUUGACUUAAACUGAGCAGCUUCAGUUAUUUAUUGAUAUUCACUUGUCGGGGAUGUUUAUGUGAAUGUGUCUUAACACAACGGUACAUUAGGACAUGUGAUAUACAGUAGACUAAUUAUAUAUAUUCUGCAUAUGCAGCACUUUCUAUGCAUGUAUUUGUGUGUUCCGAGGUAUAGUUUAGCCUGUGUUUCGGGAAGGAUAAAGGGGUAACGUUACAAUAGCCAUUUUAAAAUAAAUUACAAAGCAGUAAUUAUAUGGAUUGUAUUUAGGA